UCCUUCGGUAGUUUAUAUGUAAAACGUUGAGUUGUGGACUCGAAAAAAAAUUUUUCUGGGGA
rnacentral:tRNA from 1 species